UUAUGAAUUUAGAAAAAUAGUAUUUCUAGAAAGUUGUAGAUAAUUUAAUUAUCUUUCUAACAGUAUAAAUAGAGUCCAAAUUGGAGUUCUACAACUCUAGAUAUGUUGAUUUUACUGAAAGGGGAGUCUAGAGUUACGAGAUUUAGGGAGUUAGAAGUUAGGAUUCUAUUUGUUUUUAUUAUUUUAAAAAUCAAGCUUUGAAUCCUUAAAUUUCUUUGAAAAAUUUGACCAAUUCCUAAGCCUUUGGCUGAAGGAUAUUCAAAUAUUUUCAAUUAAAUUUAUUAUUUUUAUUCAAAGCCAAAAAAAAGAUUUUUAUUCCUAGAACUCUAUAAAUAGGACCUAGCACCAAGCAUUUUUCAUUCAUUCAUCAAGCUAAGUUCAGAGGCUGCAAGUUGCUAGGUUAUUGUGAGAGUGUAAACACUUGGGUUGGGGAUUAUAAGCUUAAUCAUUUUUAAGCUUACCAAACACUUGGGAAGUAAGGUUUAUAAUACAUUUCGGUUCAAGGUUUAGAUUGGUCAUAAAGCAUUCAAGGAAAUCUAAGUUCUUGAGCAUAAGGUUUUUGGAGUGUUCCAAGGUCCCAAAUCAGUUCUCAUAUCCCGAUUAUUUUGGUAA